GGCUAACACAUGCAGUCGAGCGGAAACGAUGAUAGCUUGCUAUCAGGCGUCGAGCGGCGGACGGGUGAGUAAUACUUAGGAAUCUACCUAGUAGUGGGGGAUAGCACGGGGAAACUCGUAUUAAUACCGCAUACGACCUACGGGAGAAAGGGGGCAGUUUACUGCUCUCGCUAUUAGAUGAGCCUAAGUCGGAUUAGCUAGAUGGUGGGGUAAAGGCCUACCAUGGCGACGAUCUGUAGCUGGUCUGAGAGGAUGAUCAGCCACACCGGGACUGAGACACGGCCCGGACUCCUACGGGAGGCAGCAGUGGGGAAUAUUGGACAAUGGGGGAAACCCUGAUCCAGCCAUGCCGCGUGUGUGAAGAAGGCCUUUUGGUUGUAAAGCACUUUAAGCAGUGAAGAAGACUCCGUGGUUAAUACCCACGGACGAUGACAUUAGCUGCAGAAUAAGCACCGGCUAACUCUGUGCC
rnacentral:rRNA from 1 species